GAUCUGUUGGCGCAGUCGGAAGCGCGCUCGUGCCAUCUAUUUCUAUAUUGUCGGAUUCUGGGAGAGGACUCGGUUCGAGCCCGGGACAGGGCG